UACGUAGGGUGCAAGCGUUGUCCGGAAUUAUUGGGCGUAAAGAGCUCGUAGGCGGUCUGUCGCGUCUGCUGUGAAAACUCAGGGCUUAACCCUGAGCUUGCAGUGGGUACGGGCAGACUAGAGUGCGGUAGGGGAGACUGGAAUUCCUGGUGUAGCGGUGAAAUGCGCAGAUAUCAGGAGGAACACCGGUGGCGAAGGCGGGGUCUCUGGGCCGUAACUGACGCUGGAGGAGCGAAAGCAUGGGGGAGCAAACAGG
rnacentral:rRNA from 1 species